GACGAACUGCCCAAACGUUGUUCGGAAUCACUGGGCUUAAAGGGUGCGUAGGCGGGCCUUUAAGUCAGGGGUGAAAUCCUGGAGCUCAACUCCAGAACUGCCUUUGAUACUGAAGAUCUUGAGUUCGGGAGAGGUGAGUGGAACUGCGAGUGUAGAGGUGAAAUUCGUAGAUAUUCGCAAGAACACCAGUGGCGAAGGCGGCUCACUGGCCCGAUACUGACGCUGAGGCACGAAAGCGUGGGGAGCAAACAGG
rnacentral:rRNA from 1 species